rnacentral:rRNA from 1 species
UACGUAGGCAGCGAGCGUUGUUCGGAAUUACUGGGCGUAAAGAGUGUGUAGGCGGUGCUCUAAGUUCGGUGUGAAAUCUCCCGGCUUAACUGGGAGGGUGCGCCGGAAACUGGAGUGCUCGAGCGUGGGAGAGGAAAGCGGAAUUCCUGGUGUAGCGGUGAAAUGCGUAGAUAUCAGGAGGAACACCUGCGGUGUAGACGGCUUUCUGGACCGUAACUGACGCUGAGACACGAAAGCGUGGGUAGCAAACAGG